AUUACAAAAAAUGAGCCCACUUCCAUGUAAAAACAUAAAAGAUCUAUAAUAAAGCUAUGAAUCAGGAAGACAAAUGAGCCGAUUUUUCUUAACCUCACAGGCCUACAUCGACUCCAAAUGAUGCGUUUCACUCAACAAGAUCUCACCUUGCAGUCGCAGCGCUGCUUGGUGUCAUUAUUUAUAUUUACGUGUUACUGUGUGCAUCACAAAACAAUGAGACCUUUCUCUUUUGUCUCUUCCUUUGUUCCCCUGCUGCUGCUGCUGCUGCUGUCCAGACACAAUGGUAGUCUCAAGGCGGUGCAUCCAGCAAAGUUUUUGUCAGCCAGCCCGUGUUAUGUAUACAAAAAAAUAUUGAGAAAAAAAUAUAUAUAUAAGGGGAGGGAGAGAGAGAAAUAGAGAGAGAGAGAGAGAGAGAGAAAGAGAGAGAGAGAAAAUAGUUUUUAGUGUGACAGUUUGAAUUGUUUUUGUGGCGACUAGAAUAAGAGAGUUCUCAAGAGGAAAAAGAACCUGCAAGAUGCUGGCGGGUGGCAAACAAAGGCGUGAGUGAGUAAACAAAUAGAUGGCAGAAAAGUGCAAUUUUACAAUAAUUCAUUAAAUAAAAUGAAUGAAAAUAACAUAUUACAGAUAGAAAGUAUCAUGUGAUGAGAAAGUAAAUAAACUGAUUAAGUGAAGUUGGUGAGGCUAAAUAAAUAAAUAAAUAAAUAAAUAAAUAAAUUCUUACUCCAAACAAUUAAGCACCGUGCUUCUUGUGAGUAAUCACACAUAUACUCGGACCGUCUAUAUUGUUGUGUGCAUAGUUGUUUGACUUUGAGAGGGCGGGACUCUUUGGAGAGCGAAAUGAACUAGGCGCGGCCAAAAGGAGCCCCAUCCAUCUAUCACACGUGUAGACAAAGGGGGACUCCACAACACAAAGCUAGAUGUGCCCUCUCAAACUUUUUCCACGACGCACGGCGACGCGCACACAGCUAAACCACCCCCCAGGUGGAUUUUAACACCAGAUUAACCAGCAAAGCGUUUUCUCCUGUGGGAGGUUAAGGAAAUAAAAAUAUGUGGAAAUCACAUGGAAGAUGUACAGAGUCACCUAUCAAGCAGCUUUUAAGGUGAAGAGGAGGAUUAAGAGACUGUGCAGUUUUCUUUUGGAGAAGGUGAAGACUCAUCUCAUAAGGAUUUAAACUUCAGCAGCAUCAGUGCCAUGCGGGAUGCGUUUUAGGCACACUUGGAAAUCUAAAACUCAUGGAGACACUUUGAGGAUUAUAAAAACUGUGUAGUAUGUCUCUCCACAAGACAUGUCCCAGCCCAAAGUCACAGGGAUAGCAGGAUAUUGCAUUUCUGAUCCUCCUCGGCCCUCAGCAUGGGGAGUGUGGGAGUGGUGAGGUCUGGGAGAUCACGACCUUAAUUCUCUCCAAGACAGACAGUUUAAUUAACACUGGAGGAAUCCUCCCUGGCUCUAGACCUCUACAAUGGGAAUGUUCAGGGGAAUUGGAUUGCCAAGGCCCCCUUCUUUGUAGUCCACAUUGCGAGAAGACCACCUCACAGGGAUUUUCCCCUUCACCAGGUCUGGGAGGUAACCUGCAUGAAAAUGGAGAAGGAAAAUGAAGAGCUCGGUGGAAAAAUGACAAAAGGGAAGGGAGAACAUUUAUGUUUAACUGUUAAAUUAUGUCUUUUUGUCACAUAUACUGGAACAUUUAAUGACUGUCAUCUCCACUCUCAACUCCUUCAACUGCAACUCAAGUAUUUAACUUUCUGUCUGUGGAAACAUCUGCUGGCUUUGGAGUCUAAUUGAUGAGUUUAGAUUGUGCAGUCACCAAGGGUUCUCAGGUGUGACUUUUCACAGGAUAUCACUGACUGUAAAGAAGUUAAAGAAAAUCAUCAUGCACAGAUGUUAUUUUGUAUGUGUUAUAUGGUGAAAAUCAUGACAACUGUCGUUGAAAGUUUUGUUUAUGUUUUUCCAAAGGAAUGAUGUGAGUUUGUAUGAAGCUCUGUAUUAAUGAAAUCUACAUUAAUUGUAUAUUCAGGAUCACAAUCAUUUUUCUGUUUAUUUACUUUUAAUCCACGAUGAUGUACAGUGCUCCUCUUUACAGGUGUUUUCCUAAUGGUUUUCCUGUAUGUACACUUGAGAAAGCACGCGCUGAGAACAAUGCAUGCAUCUGAGGAAUCGUACUGUUACAAAGCUUUGACAACCCGAGUACAAUAACAUAUUCAUGUAUGUGCACAGUAUCUGUUAAGAAAUAAUGAUCACAAUUUGGUCACAGGGGAACAAAGACAACAUUAAGGACAUGUCCUCAUACAAUAUGUAAAGCUCUGUGGAAAAUAUGCCCAGACUGUAGUGCCCUCAUGUAAAAAUAUAUGUACAGCGUUUCACUUUCAUCACAGUAACAUAGAUUAUUAAUGACUAUUGUAAAGAAUCGUGGUAAUGUAAUGUUGAAUAAAGAAUUUUAUUCAAAGCAUCUUA